AUGCUCGCUUUGGCAGCACAUAUACUAAAAUUGGAAUUGUACAGAGAAGAUUAGCAUAGCCCCUGCUCAAAGAUGACAUGCAAAUUUGUGAAGCAUUUUAUAUUUUC
ensembl:snRNA U6 U6 spliceosomal RNA